rnacentral:rRNA from 1 species
AGACCCGAAACCCGGUGAUCUAGCCAUGGGCAGGUUGAAGGUUGGGUAACACUAACUGGAGGACCGAACCGACUAAUGUUGAAAAAUUAGCGGAUGACCUGUGGCUGGGGGUGAAAGGCCAAUCAAACCGGGAGAUAGCUGGUUCUCCCCGAAAGCUAUUUAGGUAGCGCCUCGUGAAUUCAUCUCCGGGGGUAGAGCACUGUUUCGGCUAGGGGGCCAUCCCGGCUUACCAACCCGAUGCAAACUGCGAAUACCGGAGAAUGUUAUCACGGGAGACACACGGCGGGUGCUAACGUCCGUCGUGAAGAGGGAAACAACCCAGACCGCCAGCUAAGGUCCCAAAGUCAUGGUUAAGUGGGAAACGAUGUGGGAAGGCCCAGACAGCCAGGAUGUUGGCUUAGAAGCAGCCAUCAUUUAAAGAAAGCGUAAUAGCUCACUGGUCGAGUCGGCCUGCGCGGAAGAUGUAACGGGGCUAAACCAUGCACCGAAGCUGCGGCAGCGACACUCAGGUGUUGUUGGGUAGGGGAGCGUUCUGUAAGCCUGCGAAGGUGGCCUGUGAGGGUUGCUGGAGGUAUCAGAAGUGCGAAUGCUGACAUAAGUAACGAUAAAGCGGGUGAAAAGCCCGCUCGCCGGAAGACCAAGGGUUCCUGUCCAACGUUAAUCGGGGCAGGGUGAGUCGACCCCUAAGGCGAGGCCGAAAGGCGUAGUCGAUGGGAAACGGGUUAAUAUUCCCGUACUUGGUGUUACUGCGAAGGGGGGACGGAGAAGGCUAUGUUGGCCGGGCGACGGUUGUCCCGGUUUAAGCGUGUAGGUGUGUGUUCCAGGUAAAUCCGGUUCACUUUAACACUGAGGCGUGACGACGAGGCACUACGGUGCUGAAGCAACAAAUGCCCUGCUUCCAGGAAAAGCCUCUAAGCAUCAGGUAACAUCAAAUCGUACCCCAAACCGACACAGGUGGUCAGGUAGAGAAUACCAAGGCGCUUGAGAGAACUCGGGUGAAGGAACUAGGCAAAAUGGUGCCGUAACUUCGGGAGAAGGCACGCUGACACGUAGGUGAAGUGAUUUACUCACGGAGCUGAAGUCAGUCGAAGAUACCAGCUGGCUGCAACUGUUUAUUAAAAACACAGCACUGUGCAAACACGAAAGUGGACGUAUACGGUGUGACGCCUGCCCGGUGCCGGAAGGUUAAUUGAUGGGGUCAGCGCAAGCGAAGCUCCUGAUCGAAGCCCCGGUAAACGGCGGCCGUAACUAUAACGGUCCUAAGGUAGCGAAAUUCCUUGUCGGGUAAGUUCCGACCUGCACGAAUGGCGUAAUGAUGGCCAGGCUGUCUCCACCCGAGACUCAGUGAAAUUGAACUCGCUGUGAAGAUGCAGUGUACCCGCGGCAAGACGGAAAGACCCCGUGAACCUUUACUAUAGCUUGACACUGAACAUUGAGCCUUGAUGUGUAGGAUAGGUGGGAGGCUUUGAAGUGUGGACGCCAGUCUGCAUGGAGCCGACCUUGAAAUACCACCCUUUAAUGUUUGAUGUUCUAACGUGGACCCGUGAUCCGGGUUGCGGACAGUGUCUGGUGGGUAGUUUGACUGGGGCGGUCUCCUCCUAAAGAGUAACGGAGGAGCACGAAGGUUGGCUAAUCCUGGUCGGACAUCAGGAGGUUAGUGCAAUGGCAUAAGCCAGCUUGACUGCGAGCGUGACGGCGCGAGCAGGUGCGAAAGCAGGUCAUAGUGAUCCGGUGGUUCUGAAUGGAAGGGCCAUCGCUCAACGGAUAAAAGGUACUCCGGGGAUAACAGGCUGAUACCGCCCAAGAGUUCAUAUCGACGGCGGUGUUUGGCACCUCGAUGUCGGCUCAUCACAUCCUGGGGCUGAAGUAGGUCCCAAGGGUAUGGCUGUUCGCCAUUUAAAGUGGUACGCGAGCUGGGUUUAGAACGUCGUGAGACAGUUCGGUCCCUAUCUGCCGUGGGCGCUGGAGAACUGAGGGGGGCUGCUCCUAGUACGAGAGGACCGGAGUGGACGCAUCACUGGUGUUCGGGUUGUCAUGCCAAUGGCACUGCCCGGUAGCUAAAUGCGGAAGAGAUAAGUGCUGAAAGCAUCUAAGCACGAAACUUGCCCCGAGAUGAGUUCUCCCUGAGACUUUAGGUCUCCUGAAGGAACGUUGAAGACGACGACGUUGAUAGGCCGGGUGUGUAAGCGCAGCGAUGCGUUGAGCUAACCGGUACUAAUGAACCGUGAGGCUUAACCUUACAACGCCGAAG